rnacentral:rRNA from 1 species
GGCGAACGCUGGCGGCAGGCUUAACACAUGCAAGUCGAGCGGGCAUAGCAAUAUGUCAGCGGCAGACGGGUGAGUAACGCGUGGGGACGUACCUUUUGGUUCGGAACAACUGAGGGAAACUUCAGCUAAUACCGGAUAAGCCCUUACGGGGAAAGAUUUAUCGCCGAAAGAUCGGCCCGCGUCUGAUUAGCUAGUUGGUGAGGUAAUGGCUCACCAAGGCGACGAUCAGUAGCUGGUCUGAGAGGAUGAUCAGCCACAUUGGGACUGAGACACGGCCCAAACUCCUACGGGAGGCAGCAGUGGGGAAUAUUGGACAAUGGGCGCAAGCCUGAUCCAGCCAUGCCGCGUGAGUGAUGAAGGCCCUAGGGUUGUAAAGCUCUUUUGUGCGGGAAGAUAAUGACGGUACCGCAAGAAUAAGCCCCGGCUAACUUCGUGCCAGCAGCCGCCGUAACAC